rnacentral:rRNA from 1 species
UACGGAGGGUGCGAGCGUUGUCCGGAAUCACUGGGCGUAAAGGGCGCGUAGGUGGCGCGGGCAGUCAACGGUGAAAGUUCGGGGCUCAACCCUGAAUCGGCCGUCGAUACUCCCGUGCUUGAGCACUGUAGAGCCAGAUGGAAUUCCGGGUGUAGCGGUGGAAUGCGUAGAGAUCCGGAAGAACACCGGUGGCGAAGGCGGUCUGCUGGGCAGUAGCUGACACUGAGGCGCGACAGCGUGGGGAGCAAACAGG